GAUGAACGCUAGCGGCAGGCUUAAUACAUGCAAGUCGAGGGGCAGCACGGUUAGCAAUAACUGGUGGCGACCGGCGCACGGGUGCGUAACACGUAUACAAUCUACCUUAAACAGGGGGAUAGCCUUUCGAAAGAGAGAUUAAUACCCCGUAAUAAAUUGAACGGCAUCGUUUGAUUUUGAAAGCUCCGGCGGUUUGAGAUGAGUAUGCGUCUGAUUAGCUAGUUGGUGAGGUAACGGCUCACCAAGGCGACGAUCAGUAGGGGAUCUGAGAGGACUAACCCCCACACUGGUACUGAGACACGGACCAGACUCCUACGGGAGGGCAGCAGUAAGGAAUAAUUGGUCAAUAGGAGGGCAACUCUGAACCAGCCA
rnacentral:rRNA from 1 species